AACUUCAAACUUUCAGGACUCCAGAAACAAAAUUAUUGACCUGCACCAGGCUGGGAAGAAUCUCCUUACCCAGAGCAAUGAGGCCAAACAGGAGUCCCAGCAGGAGCAGAGACAGGAGGAGCAGACCCAGCAGCCACUUCCACCAGGAGCAGCAGGAGUCGGAGCAGCAACAGACUCCUCCACCCCCGAAGACGCCACUGUCCCUGUAGAUCUCUGAGGAAAUAGUUUUGGAAUCAAAAAGUGCUUUCAUGCAAAAUAAAUGACUAACAUAC